rnacentral:snRNA from 1 species
GUGCUCAUUUGGGUACAUAUGCUAAAAUUGGAAUGAUACAGAGAAGAUCAGCAUAGUCAUUGCACAAGAAAGACAUGAAAAUUUGUGAAGCUUUCCAUAUUUUU